UACGGGGGGAGCAAGCGUUGUUCGGAUUUACUGGGCGUAAAGGGCGCGUAGGCGGCCACCGCAAGUCGACUGUGAAAUCUCCGGGCUUAACCCGGAACGGUCAGCCGAUACUGCGGGGCUAGAGUGCAGAAGGGGCAACUGGAAUUCUCGGUGUAGCGGUGAAAUGCGUAGAUAUCGAGAGGAACACCUGCGGCGAAGGCGGCAUCCUGGACCGACAUUGACGCUGAACGGCGAAAGCUAGGGGAGCAAACGGG
rnacentral:rRNA from 1 species